AACAUGAGAAGUCAAGCAAAAGCUAAGAUGCAUGCAUCCUAAAGCUUCAAUUAUUCUACUAAUAUGAUUAUGAAUUCUUCCCAAUUAAAUCUUGAUCUUUUCAAUUAAUUUCGCCCGCUCAUGUCCCAACAAAUUUUAUUAACACUGCCCAAAGAUUAAAACACCAUGUAGUCUAAUAAAAGAGUCAGUAUAUAUCAAGCCCAAGAGAUUUAAAAGGAGUCGACCACUGCCUUAAAAGAAUCGGCUCAAAUUAAUUAAGCACACCCAUUUAACCAAAGAAAGAAAGAUGGUUUAAUUAACUCAAAUGAAAAUACUCCCUUCCCAGACUACAAGUAUAGUCAUCCUUCCAUUUUCUUUUGUUCAACACAGAUAGAACCCUUUAUUUAACUAUCAUUAACAAAUGAAAUAAAAUAAGUGGAAACUUAUUCCUAUUAACUAUUAUGCCUACACGUAAAUACCACCUGUUCCAUUUAAAAAAAAACAUACAUUAGAUUAAAAUAAUGUUAAAAGGAUGGUACAUAUAUUUUUCUUAAGAAAGAAACAAGAGAGCACAGAUCUCUUUCCAAAACCCGUCGCCUCUCUCUCUUCUGCAAAUUCUCAACCAAGAACAUCCCAGUUUUUUUUUCAAAUUUGCAACACUUGAUUUGAGGCUUACAGAAGCACCCACCAAUUAACUCUCUCUAUCUCUCCCUCGAUUUCUCUUACAAGAAGACAAAACAAGAUCCCCAAAUUUGUCAAGCAGGAUCGCGUCGUGGUUCGCCCGCUUCGUCACCGUUCAGGUGUAGUCCAUAUUGAGCAGCUGCUGGUCGGCUCCAAUUCGCCGCCCCGCGCACACCAACAUCGUCGCUCGGCGUCGCCGUUCCGGCAGCCCCGAUUAGCCCCAAUUAUUUGCUGAUUUGGAGAAGAAAUACGGCAGAUUUGGAGAGGAGAAACUCUGCGCUGGGAUCUUCUAAUUUCUUGGAAUCAUUUAGUAGGAUUUAAUUUGUUUGGGCUCAACAUCAUUUGUAUUUUAUUUAAAUUGUAUAGCCCACAAUUUAUUUUCUACCAGACAGGAUUUUUGUAUUAUUUAUUCAAUUUAUCGGAUCCAACACGAAAUUGAGUCCAAUAAAUA